rnacentral:lncRNA from 1 species
AGGUCACAAGAUUGCGCCAACCCUUACAUGGUCCUUAAAAAAAAAACCUUCUGACACUGCAGUAGUGAAAAUGAAGCGCACGAUGGGCGGAAGCUGUGAGUCCGGCAAAGUUUUAAAAUGAUGACGUAUUUUAUUAACUCUAACGGCACUGGCGGGUGACUGAAAAUACUAGUGCUGUGUAUGCGGGAUAGACAUUAUUUUCCUGCCCUACAUGAGGGGCUCGUGCGCGGAACGACAUGGGCAGCCCCGGCGGAAACUGCAGGCACAAGCCGGGACGCCGCGGGUUUAAAACAUGCGCGUGAGAGGAAGACAAACAUAAAGAUGAAGUGCUUAAUUCAAGGUCACACAAUGUCGGGGAUGGACCUCCAGAUUUCCUUACUGGUGAGACGUGGUCUUGUAACACAGUGGUUAAGAAUGUGACUUUGGAGCCAGCCUGCUAGGGGCUGAAUUCUGACUCAGCCAUUUACUAACUGUGUGACCUUAGGCUGGAGUGCAAUGGCAUGAUCUCGGCUCAUCACAACCUCUGCUUCCUGGGUUCAAGCGAUUCUCCUGCCUCAGCCUCCCGAGUACCUGGGACUACAGGCACUCGCCACCAUGCCCGGCUGAUUUUUGUAUUUUUAAUAGAGAUGGUUUCACUAUGUUGGCCAGGCUGGUCUCGAACUCCUGACCUUGUGAUCUGCCCACCUCAGCCUCGAAAAGUGCUGGGAUUACAGGCGUGAGCCACUGCGCCCAGCCUUGUAUUUUUUUUCAGUUUGGGUAGCUGUCCCUAAUUCAUUUGUUAAAGGAGAAGCAAGAGCAAGAACCUUUAAUCUGUUCUCCUCUUCCCUAAUUUGAAAGUAGCUUGUUAUUUUGAAUAUCACUUUCUCUGAAAUAGCACAUCUCCAUCUCAGAGAAUGGAUUUAAUGUUUGGAUACAGCCAAAAGUCAUUUCAUUACCAAACCAUGGGGUGAAUAUACCAUGUAAAGCAGUUUGGGAUCAGAACUCACAGUCUGAAUUGUAAGUGAUGAGACUGCUGUCUCUCUGCUACAGCUUCUUGGCUGGCUCUGAAGGCUCUUUGAAGGCAGAUCCUAACAAGGGGACUGCUUUGAAGGGCCAUUGUUCAUUUGGAAUGAUAAAGUCUAUGUUGUUCAAAAAACAAAUGCUUGUAGCAGGUAUUUUUUCACUCCAGACUGAGAAUAUUGGUGGGAUAUUGAUAAGGGGUACUGAAUGGUAAUAAACAUGUGCUCUAGCUCUGUGCUAGUCAGCUUAUUUCAGAACUCUAGUUUGAUUCAGUUUCUUGCCUCUGACUCAAAAUGGAGGGAGAGUGAUUUUUACAUAAGAGAACACACCCACAUAUCCUUUUGGCAGCAGCUACCUGCCAGAGAUGUUGAAGAAGAGUAGCCAACCUUUACACAGCAGAUAUUGUGUGCCAGUCAUAGUCCUAAGUAUAAUACCUUACAUGUAUAAACUUCUUAUAAGGUUGGUGCUCUGUACCGAAUUGAAUAGUAUCCCCCAAAAUUCAUGUUGUCCCAGAACCUAUGAAAGUGAUCUUACUUGAGGGAGGGGGGAGGGGGGAGGGAUAGCAUUAGGAGAUAUACCUAAUGCUAAAUGACGAGUUAAUGGGUGUAGCACACCAGCAUGGCACAUGUAUACAUAUGUAACUAACCUGCACAUUGUGCACAUGUACCCUAAAACUUAAAGUAUAAUAAUAAUAAAAUAAAAAAAAAAAAGAAAGUGAUCUUACUUGGAAAUAAGGUCUUUGCACAUAUGAUCAAGUUGAGAUGAAGUUGUACUGGAAAGUCUGUCUAGUGACUGGUGUUGUCAUAAGAAGAGAGGGACACAGAGGGAAGAUGGCCACAUGAAGAUGGAGGCAGAGAUUGCAGUUAUGCUGCUGCAAACUAAGGAAUGGCUCUGGCCCUCCAAGGAUUGCUGAUAACCACCAGAAACUAGAAGAGACAAGGAAGGAUUCUUCCCUAGAGCCUUCAGAGGGAGCAUGGCCCUACUGACACCUGGAUUUCAAACUUGUAGCUUCCUAAACUGCAAGAGAAUAAAUUUCUGUUGUUUUAAGCCAUAUAGUUUGUGGUAAUUUGUUAUGGCAGUCCUAGGUAAU